rnacentral:SRP_RNA from 1 species
GCCGGGCACGGUGGUGCCUGCCUGUAGUCCCAGCUACUUGGGAGGCUGAGGCGGGAGGAUCACUUGAGCCCAGGAGGUGGAGGCUGCAGUGAGCUAUGAGUGGGCCACUGCACUCCAGCCUGGGUGACAGAGUAAGACCCUGUCUCUA